rnacentral:lncRNA from 1 species
GGACAAAGCUAUUAUUUUGUUUAUACACGAAAAAGCAGACGAAGUUGUAAGUAUAUUAUAUAUUAAUUUAUAUAUAUAUAUAUAUAUAUAUAUUCGUGUGUAUUUGUUUAUUAUUAUUAAAUUGAUUUUUUUUUCUUUUCUGGCAAAAUACAUUCAAAAUAUAGAAAUAAAAAGAUGAUUACAAUUAAGACAACUUUCCUCCAAAUAACAAAUGACUUAGAAGUUAACAAUUAUGGGCUAAAUUACAAACUUCAACACUGAGCAAACCCAUACCGCUUAGUAAGCUGUUAAGGUCCAAAACAACAAAUGAAUCUAUAUUGGACGUUAAAUAAAUGACAUUGAAUUUGACUUUAGUGUUAAGACUUAUUUCAAGAAGAAAUGAUUCAGGAUUAAGCUGUUUUAUUUAAAAUUACCAUGUUCUGUUCUGUUAUUUCAUUCAACAUUCCCAUGUUCUGUUCUAUUAUUGAAUUUAAUGUUCCCGUGACCUGUUUUGUUCUUUUAUAUUUAACAUUACCAUGUUCUGUUCUAUUAUUUCAUUUAACAUUCCAAUGUUCUGUUAUGUUAUUUCAUUUAUAAUUAUCAUGCUUUGUUUUUAAUCUUUUAUUUAACAUUCCCGUGUCCUGUUACAUUUAUUUCUAAAUCAUUCUGUUAUACCAUUUAACAUUCCCAUGAUCUGUUCUGUUAUUUCAUUUAUUUCGUAUAACAACCCAUGUUCUGCUAGGUUAUUUCAUUUAACAUGCCCAUAUUCUGGUAUGUUAUUUCAUUUAAAAUUCCCAUGUUCUGUUCAUUUAUUUCAUUUAUAAUUACACCUUAUAUAAGAAAGCAAGAUUUUGAUUGGUUGAUAGCCAGUGUAUUUUUCGCAUAUUCUAAUAUGUUUUCCUCAUUUCAAACGAAUUUGCCUGUUUUUCACCACUGCCGGUGAAUUUGCCUCAAAUACCAUGGUAUUUGCCAUUUUGGAUAUUCCUUUUUUUACCCUCGCGAGCAGCUUCCCGCCAAAAGAUUUCGGAUAUGACGUUACAUAAUGAAAGCGAGCUAACGCGUAUUAGAACAUGUAUAAUUCCGCGGUUCUAUGAUAAUAUCCAUUUAUACCCUAAAUUAUGCAUAAACAUGAUUAUGAAUUGCAGCUUGAUAGUAUUUAUCUGCACAUGUACAGAGAGUUUCAAUCCAAAUCUAUUCGGUGUAAUUAAACAGAUAUAUCAUGUUAUGGAGGGGUAUUUGCGAAAAAUACCAGUCUUGGGACAGAAUUUCCCUCGCCUGGCGGCUCGGGAAAUUUCACAGUCCCUUGACUGGUAUUUUUCGCAAAUACCCCUCCAUAACAUGAUAUAUCUGUUCAAAAUUUCCAUGUUCUGUUCAUUUAUUUCAUUUAAAAUUCCCAUGUUCUGUUCAUUUAUUCCAUUUAGCAUGCCCGUGUUCUGCUAGGUUAUUUUAUUUAACAUGCCCAUGUUCUGUUAUAUUAUUUCAUUUAACAUUCCCAUGUUCUGUUCAUUUAUUCCAUUUAAUUAGCCAUCACAUGUUCAGGUAAUUUAUUUAACAUUCACAUUUUCUGUAAUUUCGUUUGACAUGCGUAUGAUCUGUUAAUUUUAUUUAAUAAUCACAUGUUAGAUGUUACUUUAUUUUCGCUACUCUUUUGUAGAAAAUGCAGAGGAAAGUGAUCAUAGUUCUUAUUGCAGUACUGUUUCUUGUUGGUACAACAAUUGCAACGUGUCGUACAAACUGCGCACACAGAUAUCAGGAUAAUGUAAACAGCUGUAAAAUUCAUGGAGGUUCAAAUGACGCAUGCGUAGACAAGGCAACUGCACGCAUGCUCCGUUGCAUGAAACCAUGUUCAUCCAGGAAAAGGAGCGUGAACUGGAAGCUAUUCCAUGUGUAAAUAGUUACUUUUAAAUUUGACGAGGACUGUUUUGGAGACAAUUGGUCCGAUAAACGAAUUUAUGUGACUUGAUAGUUAUAAUGACGCGUAGUAUUACACUACAUCAAGUUUGUUGCAUUGAAUUGUACUGAAACAUUCAAACUAAUUUUAGUGUACAUUAUGCAUAAUAAUUGUUUUUUGAUAGUUCAACAUGAAAUGCUGUAUUUUUCGUGCAAUACUAACGAGGACUGUUUCGGAGUAAAUACAUGUAGGUCCGAUAUACGAAUGUAUGUAACUUGAUAAUUUCUGGUGUUCUAUUACACUACACCAUUUUUUUCAUUUUUUUAUGCAUUUUACUGUACAGAUACAAUAUGACUUAAUUUAGUGUACGUAUUGUAGUUGUGUUCUUUGUGCAAUAUUUUAUUUAUUACGUGUAUGCAA